AACGAACGCUGGCGGCAUGCCUAACACAUGCAAGUCGAACGAGACCUUCGGGUCUAGUGGCGCACGGGUGCGUAACGCGUGGGAACCUGCCCUUAGGUUCGGAAUAACUCCCCGAAAGGGGUGCUAAUACCGGAUAAUGUCAUCGGACCAAAGAUUUAUCGCCUUUGGAUGGGCCCGCGUUGGAUUAGCUGGUUGGUAGGGUAAAAGCCUACCAAGGCGACGAUCCAUAGCUGGUCUGAGAGGAUGAUCAGCCACACUGGGACUGAGACACGGCCCAGACUCCUACGGGAGGCAGCAGUGGGGAAUAUUGGACAAUGGGCGAAAGCCUGAUCCAGCAAUGCCGCGUGAGUGAUGAAGGCCUUAGGGUUGUAAAGCUCUUUUACCCGGGAUGAUAAUGACAGUACCGGGAGAAUAAGCUCCGGCUAACUCCGUG
rnacentral:rRNA from 1 species